GUGAGGAAUAUUGCGCAAUGGAGGCAACUCUGACGCAGCCAUGCCGCGUGUGUGAAGAAGGCCUUUUGGUUGUAAAGCACUUUAAGCGAGGAGGAGGCUACCGAGAUUAAUACUCUUGGAUAGUGGACGUUACUCGCAGAAUAAGCACCGGCUAACUCUGUGCCAGCAGCCGCGGUAAUACAGAGGGUGCGAGCGUUAAUCGGAUUUACUGGGCGUAAAGCGUGCGUAGGCGGCUUUUUAAGUCGGAUGUGAAAUCCCCGAGCUUAACUUGGGAAUUGCAUUCGAUACUGGGAAGCUAGAGUAUGGGAGAGGAUGGUAGAAUUCCAGGUGUAGCGGUGAAAUGCGUAGAGAUCUGGAGGAAUACCGAUGGCGAAGGCAGCCAUCUGGCCUAAUACUGACGCUGAGGUACGAAAGCAUGGGGAGCAAACAGGAUUAGAUACCCUGGUAGUCC
rnacentral:rRNA from 1 species